CCCGAAACCGAGUGACCUAUCCAUGGCCAGGAUGAAGCGGAAGUAAAAUUCCGUGGAGGUCCGAACCACGUUGGUGUUGAAAAACCAUGGGAUGAGCUGGGGAUAGCGGAGAAAUUCCAAUCGAACUCGGAGAUAGCUGGUUCUCCUCGAAAUAGCUUUAGGGCUAGCGUCGGGUAAUUGAGUAGUGGAGGUAGAGCACUGAAUGGGCUAGGGGCUGACAACAGUUACUGAACCCUAUCAAACUCCGAAUGCCAUAUACUUGUACCCCGGCAGUCAGACUACGAAUGAUAAGAUCCGUGGUCAAAAGGGAAACAGCCCAGACCAUCAGCUAAGGUCCCAAAGUGUAAGUUAAGUGGGAAAGGAUGUGGGAUUUCUAAGACAACUAGGAUGUUGGCUUAGAAGCAGCCACUCAUUUAAAGAGUGCGUAAUAGCUCACUAGUCGAGAGAUCCUGCGCCGAAGAUGUAACGGGGCUCAAACUUACCACCGAAGCUAUGGAUGUGUACUUUGUACACGUGGUAGAGGAGCUUUCUGUACAGGUUGAAGUCAUACCGUAAGGAGUGGUGGACAGUACAGAAGUGAGAAUGCUGGCAUAAGUAGCGAAAAACAAGUGAGAAUCUUGUUGACCGAAUAUCUAAGGUUUCCUGGGGAAGGCUCGUCCUCCCAGGGUUAGUCGGGACCUAAGCCGAGGCCGA
rnacentral:rRNA from 1 species